rnacentral:lncRNA from 1 species
CACAGGUACAUGGCAUUUGACUGGUUUGAUGUGGGCAGUGUAAGCCCCUUUCUGCCCGUAAGACUGCAUGUAAGCACAGUAGUCUCUUGUUCAAGAGGGAAACCUGCUGAAAAUCAUGAGUGCUAACAUGCAUUGCUCAAUAUGAAAAAGAGUUUUGUACUUUGAGAAAAGGUUAUAUAUUACAAAAGCAGCUUUAAAGAGAUGCAUGUUUUUAGCCAACAGGGGCAAAAUAUUUUGGUGUGGGAGAAACAGUUUUGUUUUUCCUUUGCUAUCAAUGUGCUACAUGAUCCUGAAGACACUUGUAUCUUUAUGCUUUUUUUUUUUUUUUUUUUUUUUUUUUUUUUUUUUUUUUUUUUUUUUUUUUUUUUUUUUUUUA